rnacentral:rRNA from 1 species
UGGGGAAUCUUGCGCAAUGGGCGAAAGCCUGACGCAGCGACGCCGCGUGCGGGAAGAAGGCCUUCGGGUUGUAAACCGCUUUCAGGAGGGACGAAGCCACUCGGGUGAAUAGCCCAGAGGGUGACGGUACCUCCAGAAGAAGCCCCGGCUAACUACGUGCCAGCAGCCGCGGUAAUACGUAGGGGGCUAGCGUUGUCCGGAUUCAUUGGGCGUAAAGCGCGUGUAGGCGGCCAGGUAGGUCCGAUGUGAAAACUGGAGGCUCAACCUCCAGCUGUCAUUGGAAACCAUCUGGCUAGAGUCCGGAAGAGGAGAGUGGAAUUCCUGGUGUAGCGGUGAAAUGCGCAGAUAUCAGGAAGAACACCGAUGGCGAAGGCAGCUCUCUGGGACGGUACUGACGCUGAGACGCGAAAGCGUGGGGAGCGAACAGG